UUCUUAUUGGACCUGUAUGCUUAUCACAUGAAUGAAUACAAAGAAUAAUAUGUAAAUGAUACAACAAAGAAUAAUAUGGAAAUGAUACAAAAUAAUGUUAAUGUUAAUUACAGAAUGAAUAAGAAUAAACAAAUUAAAAAAUUUAACAACUUGAGCUAUUGGCAAAAAUCUCAAGGGUAAACUUUGUUCGAAGGCCCUCUAUGGCGUUUGCCUUCAGC
rnacentral:lncRNA from 1 species